AGAGUUUGAUCAUGGCUCAGAUUGAACGCUGGCGGCAGGCCUAACACAUGCAAGUCGAACGGUAGCAGGAAGUGCUUGCACUUUGCUGACGAGUGGCGGACGGGUGAGUAAUGCUUGGGAACUUGCCUUUGCGAGGGGGAUAACAGUUGGAAACGACUGCUAAUACCGCAUAAUGUCUACGGACCAAACGGGGCUUAGGCUUCGGCGCAGAGGGAGGCCCAAGUGAGAUUAGCUAGUUGGUGGGGUAAAGGCUCACCAAGGCGACGAUCUCUAGCUGUUCUGAGAGGAAGAUCAGCCACACUGGGACUGAGACACGGCCCAGACUCCUACGGGAGGCAGCAGUGGGGAAUAUUGCACAAUGGGGGGAACCCUGAUGCAGCCAUGCCGCGUGUGUGAAGAAGGCCUUCGGGUUGUAAAGCACUUUCAGUUGUGAGGAAAAGUGAGUAGUUAAUACCUGCUCACCGUGACGUUAACAACAGAAGAAGCACCGGCUAACUCCGUGCCAGCAGCCGCGGUAAUACGGAGGGUGCGAGCGUUAAUCGGAAUUACU
rnacentral:rRNA from 1 species